rnacentral:rRNA from 1 species
UGCCAUCAGCCUCGGUAAUACUGCGUGUGCAAUCUUGGCUCGGAAUCACUGGGCGUAAAGCGGACGCAGGCGGAACGUUAAGUUGGAUGUGAAAGCCCCGGGCUCAACCUGGGAACUGCAUUCAAAACUGGCGUUCUUGAGUUCAAGAGAGGGUGGUGGAAUUCCUGGUGUAGAGGUGAAAUUCGUUGAUAUCAGGAGGAACACCGGCGGCGAAGGCGGCCACCUGGCUUGAUACUGACGCUCAUGUCCGAAAGCGUGGGGAGCAAACAGGAUUAGAUA